rnacentral:rRNA from 1 species
AACGAACGCUGGCGGCAUGCCUAACACAUGCAAGUCGAACGAAGGCUUCGGCCUUAGUGGCGCACGGGUGCGUAACGCGUGGGAAUCUGCCCUUGGGUUCGGAAUAACAGUGAGAAAUUACUGCUAAUACCGGAUGAUGACUUCGGUCCAAAGAUUUAUCGCCCAAGGAUGAGCCCGCGUAAGAUUAGCUAGUUGGUGAGGUAAAGGCUCACCAAGGCGACGAUCUUUAGCUGGUCUGAGAGGAUGAUCAGCCACACUGGGACUGAGACACGGCCCAGACUCCUACGGGAGGCAGCAGUGGGGAAUAUUGGACAAUGGGCGAAAGCCUGAUCCAGCAAUGCCGCGUGAGUGAUGAAGGCCUUAGGGUUGUAAAGCUCUUUUACCAGGGAUGAUAAUGACAGUACCUGGAGAAUAAGCUCCGGCUAACUCCGUGCCAGCAGCCGCGGUAAUACGGAGGGAGCUAGCGUUGUUCGGAAUUACUGGGCGUAAAGCGCACGUAGGCGGCCAUUCAAGUCAGAGGUGAAAGCCCGGGGCUCAACCCCGGAACUGCCUUUGAAACUAGAUGGCUUGAAUCUUGGAGAGGCGAGUGGAAUUCCGAGU